rnacentral:rRNA from 1 species
UACGAAAGGGGCUAGCGUUGUUCGGAAUUACUGGGCGUAAAGCGCACGUAGGCGGCCUUGUAAGUCGGGGGUGAAAUCCCGGGGCUCAACUCCGGAACUGCCUUCAAGACUGCAAAGCUAGAGGACGCGAGAGGUUAGCGGAAUUCCGAGUGUAGAGGUGAAAUUCGUAGAGAUUCGGAAGAACACCAGUGGCGAAGGCGGCUAACUGGCGCGUUACUGACGCUGAGGUGCGAAAGAGUGGGGAGCAAACAGG